CUCCGGUUGAUCCUGCGGGACCUGACUGCUAUCGGAUUGGUACUAAGCCAUGCGAGUCGUUGUAGCAAUACAAGGCGGACGGCUCAGUAACACGUAGUCAACCUAACCUAUGGACGUGGAUAACCUCGGGAAACUGAGAAUAAACCGCGAUAGAUCAUUAUGCCUGGAAUGGCUUAUGGUUCAAACAAUUUAUUGCCGUAGGAUGGGACUGCGGCCUAUCAGCUUGUUGGUGAGGUAAUGGCCCACCAAGGCUAUAACAGGUACGGGCUCUGAGAGGAGAAGCCCGGAGAUGGGUACUGAGACACGGACCCAGGCCCUAUGGGGCGCAGCAGGCGAGAAACCUUAGCAAUGUGCGAAAGCACGACUAGGUUAAUCCGAGUGAUUUCUGUUGAAGAAAUCUUUUGUCAGUCGUAAAACCACAGACGAAUAAGGGGUGGGCAAGUCUGGUGUCAGCCGCCGCGGUAAUACCAGCACCUCGAGUGGUCAGGAGGUUUAUUGGGCCUAAAGCAUCCGUAGCCGGCUACGCAAGUCUCCGGUUAAAUCCAGCUGCUCAACAGAUGGGCUGCCGGAGAUACUACAUAGCUAGGGAGCGGGAGAGGUAGACGGUAUUCUGUGGGUAGGGGUAAAAUCCACUGAUCCAUAGAGGACCACCAGUGGCGAAGGCGGUCUACCAGAACGCGUUCGACGGUGAGGGAUGAAAGCUGGGGGAGCAAACCGGAUUAGAUACCCGGGUAGUCCCAGCUGUAAACGAUGCAAACUCGGUGAUGCAUUGGCUUAUGGCCAAUGCAGUGCCGCAGGGAAGCCGUUAAGUUUGCCGCCUGGGAAGUACGGACGCAAGUCUGAAACUUAAAGGAUUGGCGGGGGAGCA
rnacentral:rRNA from 1 species